rnacentral:tRNA from 1 species
UCCGUGAUAGCUCAGUUGGUAGAGCACCGCACUGUUAAUGCGUAGGUCCCUGGUUCGAGUCCAGGUCACGGAGCCA